CUGGCCCCCAGUCAAGGCCAGCAGUUUGUGACGCUGUUGGUUUCAAGCAGGAGCCUGAAGAAAUGUCUUCCUAUGGGCUAUUGACCAUUUCAGAACUUUGGAAAUGCAAGGGUCAAUUCAUUAGAAAGAAACAACC
ensembl:snoRNA